rnacentral:tRNA from 1 species
AGUGUUGCGCCGGAGGAACGGGCUACAUUGAUGUUGUAGAGCAUGAGACUUCGCGUCUUCGACACUU